AAAGAGAGUCUAAAGAUGGCGGCCUUAGCAGCAAGAGAUGCUGUGGUGCUGUGUGGAAAUAUCAGUCAGCCGGUUGCUUUUGUGAAAAAAAAUUCUUAGACUGAAGCGUCCAGUCAGCUGAGAGCACUUUGCACAGUUUGGACAUAUAUGAAAUUGUAUUGUACCUUUUGACAAGGAGACUGGCUUUCACAGAGGUUUGGGUUGGGUUCAGUUGUCUUCAGAAGAAGAACUUCAGAAUGCACUAGAACAGGAAAAUCAUAUUCUAGUUGGAGUAAAGCUCCAGGUUCAAGCUCAAAGGCCAAAAGGUUUGCAAACAUCUGAUGACGACAAAGAUUUUUGAGACCGCCAGCCUAUUAAAGUUA